rnacentral:tRNA from 1 species
GGGCUGUUAGUUUAACGGAAAAACACGGGGCUUCUAUCCCCAUGAUGAGGGUUCGACUCCUUCACAGCCUUCCA